AGUCCAUUUCGGUGGAUAAGUAAAGUGGCGACCGGGUGAGUAACGCGUGAGUAACUUACCUCUUGGUUUGGAAUAACAUUUCGAAAGGGAUGCUAAUACCGGAUAUUAUAUUGUUUCACAAGAAAUAAUUAUGAAAGAAGGCCUCUACUUGUAAGCUUUCGCCAUGAGAAAGGCUCGCGUACCAUUAGCUUGUUGGUGGGGUAAUGGCCUACCAAGGCGACGAUGGUUAGCCGGCCUGAGAGGGUGAACGGCCACACUGGAACUGAAACACGGUCCAGACUCCUACGGGAGGCAGCAGUGAGGAAUAUUGCGCAAUGGGGGAAACCCUGACGCAGCAACGCCGCGUGAGUGAUGAAGGCUCUUGGGUUGUAAAGCUCUGUCAGAUGGGAAGAAAACCUAAGAUAAUAAUACUGUCUUAGCUUGACGGUACCAUCAGAGGAAGCCCCGGCUAACUCCGUGCCAGCAGCCGCGGUAAUACGGAGGGGGCGAGCGUUGUUCGGAUUUAUUGGGCGUAAAGGGCGCGUAGGUGGCUACAUAAGUUAGACGUGAAAACUCUAGGCUUAACCAAGAGACUGCGUCUAAUACUGUGUGGCUUGAGUGCAGGAGAGGAGAGUGGAAUUCCCAGUGUAGCGGUGAAAUGCGUAGAUAUUGGGAGGAACAUCAGUGGCGAAGGCGGCUCUCUGGACUGACACUGACACUGAGGCGCGAAAGCUAGGGGAGCAAACAGGAUUAGAUACCCUGGUAGUCCUAGCCGUAAACGAUGGGCACUAGGUGUAGAAGGUAUCGACCCCUUCUGUGCCGAAGCUAACGCAUUAAGUGCCCCGCCUGGGGGAGUACGGU
rnacentral:rRNA from 1 species